rnacentral:lncRNA from 1 species
CUGGUAUGAACUUAGGUGCAUGGGACACCCUGUGACGACGAUCAUUAGGACAAGUAUGCACUUGCUUAUUGGCCUGGGAGUCCCUUGGCUUCUCACAAGCUUGAAGCGCUGCGCCCCCAUUGUCCCAGUGCUAUGACAAGCCAUGCAAAGUCAUGAUUGCCCUGCAAAAGAACUUUCCGGCAAAAACAGCCCUUCGUCCUCUUCCCCCGUCUUCUGACCUCUCAAAUUUCCCUCCAGUUUCUGGAACUUCUUUGAAGGGAAUCUCCCUAAACUACUCGUCACAAAAUUACAUGGGGUGGAGCUGGAACAUUUUUGUUUAGGAUGCAAGAUCCUGUUUAAAC